GAGUUUGAUCAUGGCUCAGGAUGAACGCUGGCGGCGUGCUUAACACAUGCAAGUCGAACGAACCUUCGGGUUAGUGGCGGACGGGUGAGUAACGCGUGGGAAUCUGCCCUCAGGAGGGGGAUAACGGUUGGAAACGACCGCUAAUACCCCAUAUGCCGAGAGGUGAAAUGAAUUUCGCCUGAGGAUGAGCCCGCGUCUGAUUAGCUUGUUGGUGAGGUAAAAGCUCACCAAGGCUUCGAUCAGUAGCUGGUCUGAGAGGAUGAUCAGCCACACUGGGACUGAGACACGGCCCAGACUCCUACGGGAGGCAGCAGUGGGGAAUUUUCCGCAAUGGACGAAAGUCUGACGGAGCAACGCCGCGUGAGGGACGAAGGCCUCUGGGCUGUAAACCUCUUUUCUCAAGGAAGAAGAUAUGACGGUACUUGAGGAAUAAGCCACGGCUAAUUCCGUGCCAGCAGCCGCGGUAAUACGGGAGUGGCAAGCGUUAUCCGGAAUUAUUGGGCGUAAAGCGUCCGCAGGCGGCCUUUCAAGUCUGCUGUUAAAACGUGGAGCUUAACUCCAUCAUGGCAGUGGAAACUGAUUGGCUUGAGUAUGGUAGGGGCAGAGGGAAUUCCCGGUGUAGCGGUGAAAUGCGUAGAUAUCGAGAAGAACACCAGUGGCGAAGGCGCUCUGCUGGGCCAUUACUGACGCUCAUGGACGAAAGCCAGGGGAGCGAAAGGGAUUAGAUACCCCUGUAGUCCUGGCCGUAAACGAUGAACACUAGGUGUCGGGGGGAAUCGACCCCUCCGGUGUCGUAGCUAACGCGUUAAGUGUUCCGCCUGGGGAGUACGCACGCAAGUGUGAAACGCAAAGGAAUUGACGGGGGCCCGCACAAGCGGUGGAGUAUGUGGUUUAAUUCGAUGCAACGCGAAGAACCUUACCAGGGCUUGACAUCCUGCGAACCUUUAAGAAAUUAGAGGGUGCCUUCGGGAACGCAGUGACAGGUGGUGCAUGGCUGUCGUCAGCUCGUGUCGUGAGAUGUUGGGUUAAGUCCCGCAACGAGCGCAACCCACGUUUUUAGUUGCCAGCAUUCAGUUGGGCACUCUAGAAAGACCGCCGGUGAUAAACCGGAGGAAGGUGUGGAUGACGUCAAGUCAUCAUGCCCCUUACGUCCUGGGCUACACACGUACUACAAUGCUACGGACAAAGGGCAGCAAACUCGCGAGAGCUAGCAAAUCCCAUAAACCGUGGCUCAGUUCAGAUCGUAGGCUGCAACUCGCCUACGUGAAGUAGGAAUCGCUAGUAAUCGCAAAUCAGCAUGUCGCGGUGAAUACGUUCUCGGGUCUUGUACACACCGCCCGUCACACCAUGGAAGUCGACCCUUCCCUAAGUCGUUACUCGAACCUGUAAAGGACGAGGACGCCGAAGGCAGAGUUGGUGACUAGGGUGAAGUCGUAACAAGGUAACC
rnacentral:rRNA from 1 species